GGAAGAAAAGAAGAAGGCCAAGGAGGAGGUUUAUAGAUGUGGUGGAGACGGAUGAUUUGCUGUGGCGACCCCUAAUGGGAGAAGCCGAAAGAAGAAGUUUUGGGUGUGAUGGAUCUUUGUGAUCACAUGAAAACACAGGCUUUUUUGUGUGCACUAACAAGCCUUCUUGUGGAAAGAAGCAUUAUCAUAUAGCAUGCUUCAGUUUUCACACUAUGAGGGUGUGGCUUAUACAUGUGGCGCACACUUAAAUACAGAAACUGAUAACCAAAUAUGACUAACCAAAAGUGUAUAUCAAGAGAGAAAAGGAAAAUGACUUGGAAAAUAAUUUUUAAGACUUUUGAUCUAGUGCCCUCCCAGAGGGGGGAACGGUCUUUAAACAGAUAUUUUCAAUCUCAAAGAAGCUUAAAAAUAGAAGAAUCUUCAGAGUUCAAGGAUUACAUCAAGAAACAAUAGGGUUCGUGUUUGUCUCGAGGAAGUGAUGAUGAAGAGAGGGAACAUUUGCUCUCUGCUUCAGUUGAACAUGAACAACAGAAGAUUUCGGUGCAGUGUGUAGACGACCCAGAGCCUACGAAAUGCAUGGUGUAUUAUAACAAUGAGACUUUCACAAUGACGCAUCAUCCACCAAUUUCGGUGCAGUGUGUAGACGACCCAGUGCCUUUGAAGCCAAUGGUGUAUAACGAUGAUGCGGCCUUCCCAAUGUACCAUCAUCCACCAAUGAGUUUCCUUCUAUAAUCCCUACAGUUUCAAAACUAAAUGGGGCUAUCUGUAUAUACACUAUGCAGUAAACUUUAACAUGAAAUUCUAACAGCAUUAAUAGCAAAAACUACUGUUUUAUUCCUAUAUCGAAUUUGCAGCUCUUUUCCAUUUCCUGUCGGAAUUAAACGUGUUUAAUGUAUGUAGUGUGAUUGUAUUAGUCAGUGUAGAUUUGUAAUUUUUUUCAUUUCUUCAGGAAUGUGAAUUAAAAGGCCACGACAUCAUUUUUUUAACAGCAUGGACAAGACAAUUUUUCCACAGGGCCCCGUAUUAAUAUUAAUUAUUACAUAUAUAAUUCAACAUUAUAAUGCAUACAUUUAACACAACGCAUUAUAACGCAGAAUAACUAGAAGUGCUUAGCAACAUAUUAUACACAACAGGCUUGAAUCCAGAGAAUCACACGAUGCAAUAAACCCAUCACUACUCUUUGUAUUUUCUUUGCAAUAGAACUUUUUAUUUUUGCACAAAUUCUUCUGCUGGCUUAUCAUUUGAACCCUAAUUUCCAAUAAAUCUUUCCUGAAAUG